rnacentral:rRNA from 1 species
UACGGAGGGGGCAAGCGUUGUUCGGAAUUACUGGGCGUAAAGCGUGCGUAGGUGGUUUGUUAAGUCUGAUGUGAAAGCCCUGGGCUCAACCUGGGAAUGGCAUUGGAUACUGGCGAGCUAGAGUGCGGUAGAGGGUAGUGGAAUUCCCGGUGUAGCAGUGAAAUGCGUAGAGAUCGGGAGGAACAUCUGUGGCGAAGGCGACUACCUGGACCAGCACUGACACUGAGGCACGAAAGCGUGGGGAGCAAACAGG